rnacentral:rRNA from 1 species
AGAACGAACGCUGGCGGCAGGCCUAACACAUGCAAGUCGAACGCCCCGCAAGGGGAGUGGCAGACGGGUGAGUAACGCGUGGGAACAUACCUCUCGGUUCGGAAUAGCUCAGGGAAACUUGAAUUAAUACCGGAUACGUCCGUAAGGAGAAAGAUUUAUCGCCGAGAGAUUGGCCCGCGUCCGAUUAGCUAGUUGGUGGGGUAAAAGCUUACCAAGGCGACGAUCGGUAGCUGGUCUGAGAGGAUGAUCAGCCACAUUGGGACUGAGACACGGCCCAAACUCCUACGGGAGGCAGCAGUGGGGAAUAUUGCGCAAUGGGCGAAAGCCUGACGCAGCGACGCCGCGUGGGGGAUGAAGGCCUUCGGGUUGUAAACCCCUUUCAGUUGGGACGAAGGUUCACUCGUUAACAGCGGGUUGGACUGACGGUACCUUCAGAAGAAGCCCCGGCUAACUACGUGCCAGCAGCCGC